rnacentral:rRNA from 1 species
ACUCCGUGCCAGCAGCCGCGGUAAUACGGAGGAUGCGAGCGUUAUCCGGAAUCAUUGGGUUUAAAGGGUCUGUAGGCGGGCUGGUAAGUCAGAGGUGAAAGCGCUUAGCUCAACUAAGCAACUGCCUUUGAAACUGUUGGUCUUGAAUGGUUGUGAAGUAGUUGGAAUGUGUAGUGUAGCGGUGAAAUGCUUAGAUAUUACACAGAACACCGAUAGCGAAGGCAUAUUACUAACAAUUAAUUGACGGUGAUGGACGAAAGCGUGGGGAGCGAACAGGAUUAGAUACCCUGGUAGUCCACGC